rnacentral:lncRNA from 1 species
UUUGUGACUCCUGGAAUAGAAUUGUAUUAUUGAAAGUGAUAGCAGAGAGAACAGUCUAUAGGAGUCCGUUAAAGCUUCAUAAUGCUGUGAGUUCAAUUGAAGACUUUGGUUCAUAGAGUUGUGUUGAACAGACUCACCUUGCUUCCCAUGAGUCAUUCUUCUUGAUAGAUUCUGAUAACAAAAUUAUGUAUUAGAAACCUUAUACAAGGAGAAACAAUCACUGAGGCACUGUGGGAAUGAGAGGGGAAAUUCAACUGCCUCUAAGGUGUACAACUAAAAACUACCAAAGGCCUCUUUUAUGAUCAUUACACAGGUAUUAGUAGCCAGCAAGCAGCAUUUGAGAAGUGUGAAUAGCAAAGCUGGCACGACAAGUUAGAGGAGAAAGCCACUCUUCUGUGCUUCCUGUUGAAAUGUUGUACUGAAUGGGUGUUAUGUCAAAGGAAUGACUACAACCAGAAAAAAGAGGGAUUUUGAGGAGGGGGGAGCAGGAGCGACGUCCUAUUCUGUCUCAGAUUGUGAAGGAAAUCUGACUCAGCAGCACAAUGGAAAUUACAAAUUUAUCCAACAUUCCUGGCUACUAAGAUGUAAUUGUGCAUCUAAAGCUAACGGGAUCUCCUUAAGGCACCAAAUGACCAAUACUGUCUUCAAGACAUUUUUAUUUCCAAGACAAAAUAUUGAUAUUCUGUAAUAAUGUAAGUACAAAAAUAUUGCUUAAUAUACCCUAGUAGAACUUGUUUGUGUUAUGGUAGUCAUCUAGUAUGCUAUUUGUUGUGAUUACUAACCCUUAACAAGAACAGUGUGUGCUGUUACCUAUUUUGUUAGUUAUUUUUCCAGCUGCUGCUUUUCAUUUAAAAUCUCUCUUCAAUCAUCUGCAACAUCGCUGCUUUUUAUAAAGUAACAAAACACUAUGCACUAUUUUUUUGAUUAAAUUUAGUUGUGUUACAUGUAUAGCUGACAGGCUAAUAUCUCAUCCUAUGAUAUUAAAUAAACAUCUUUUCCUCCCAUCA